rnacentral:rRNA from 1 species
UACGUAGGGGGCAAGCAUUGUCCGGAAUCAUUGGGCGUAAAGAGCGUGUAGGCGGUCCGGUCAGUCGGUUGUGAAAGUCAAGGGCUCAACCCUUGAAUGCCGGCCGAUACUGCCGGGCUAGAGUCCGGAAGAGGUGAGUGGAAUUCCUGGUGUAGCGGUGAAAUGCGUAGAUAUCGAGAGGAACACCUGCGGCGAAGGCGGGUUGCUGGGCUGACACUGACGCUGAAGCGCGAAAGCUAGGGGAGCGAACGGG